rnacentral:rRNA from 1 species
GACGAACGCUGGCGGCGUGCCUAAUACAUGCAAGUCGAACGAGAGCGCCCGGUGCUUGCCCUGGUCAAUCUAGUGGCGAACGGGUGAGUAACACGUGGGUAACCUGCCCAUCAGAGGGGGAUAACAUUCGGAAACGGAUGCUAAAACCGCAUAGGUCUUCGAACCGCAUGGUUUGAAGAGGAAAAGAGGCGCAAGCUUCUGCUGAUGGAUGGACCCGCGGUGCAUUAGCUAGUUGGUGAGGUAACGGCUCACCAAGGCCGUGAUGCAUAGCCGACCUGAGAGGGUGAUCGGCCACAUUGGGACUGAGACACGGCCCAAACUCCUACGGGAGGCAGCAGUAGGGAAUCUUCCGCAAAGGACGCAAGUCUGACGGAGCAACGCCGCGUGAGUGAAGAAGGUUUUCGGAUCGUAAAACUCUGUUGUUAGAGAAGAAUAAGUGCUAGAGUAACUGUUAGCGCCUUGACGGUAGCUAACCAGAAAGCCACGGCUAACUACGUG